rnacentral:misc_RNA from 1 species
UUAACUAUUAUAUAGUACUCAGACAUCACUAAACAAACGAGUUUGGGUCCUCUGGCGGGCGCAGUUAGCCGGAGCCAACGCCCGAAGGCGGCCCGCCAAAGCAACAAAGGUAUGUAUACACGGUUUAGGAAUAGAACCCAUUUCAAAAAACGGGGCGAUUCUUUAAUGAUCCUUCCGCAGGUUCACCUACGGAAA